rnacentral:rRNA from 1 species
UACGGAGGGUGCAAGCGUUAUCCGGAUUUACUGGGUUUAAAGGGUGCGCAGGCGGAUAUGUAAGUCAGUGGUGAAAUCUCUGGGCUUAACCCGGAAAUUGCCAUUGAUACUAUAUAUCUUGAAUGCUGUGGAGGUAAGCGGAAUAUGUCAUGUAGCGGUGAAAUGCUUAGAGAUGACAUAGAACACCUAUUGCGAAGGCAGCUUACUACGCAGAUAUUGACGCUCAUGCACGAAAGCGUGGGGAGCAAACAGG